ensembl:miRNA
UGUGUGCUGGAUCUGGUUUCAUCUCACUGAUGUGUUAUUGAUGGGCCUGGGUGUAGUACUGUGG